rnacentral:rRNA from 1 species
ACUCGAGUGGCGAACGGGUGAGUAACACGUGGGUGAUCUGCCCUGCACUUCGGGAUAAGCUUGGGAAACUGGGUCUAAUACCGGAUAGGAGCCAUCCUUAGUGUGGUGGUUGGAAAGUUUUUUCGGUGUAGGAUGAGCUCGCGGCCUAUCAGCUUGUUGGUGGGGUAAUGGCCUACCAAGGCGGCGACGGGUAGCCGGCCUGAGAGGGUGUACGGCCACAUUGGGACUGAGAUACGGCCCAG